rnacentral:rRNA from 1 species
GACGAACGCUGGCGGCGUGCCUAACACAUGCAAGUCAACUUGACUGAAGGAGCAAUCUGACAGUAGAGUGGCGCAAGGGUGCGUAACGCGUAAGUAACUUGCCCCAAGGUAAGGAAUAACGUCGAGAAAUCGGCGCUAAUACCUCAUAAUGCAGCGGAUCCGCAUGGAUAUGUUGUUAAAGGUUUACCGCCUUGGGAUAGGCUUGCGUCUGAUUAGCUAGUUGGUGUGGUAAUGGCACACCAAGGCUACGAUCAGUAACUGGUCUGAGAGGAUGAUCAGUCACACUGGAACUGAGACACGGUCCAGACUCCUACGGGAGGCAGCAGUGAGGAAUAUUGGGCAAUGCUCGAAAGAGUGACCCAGCAACGCCGCGUGGAGGAUGAAGGUAUUCUAUAUCGUAAACUCCUGUGAGAGCAGACGAAAGACAGAUUAUUAAUCUGGAUGACUGUAUGCUCAGAGGAAGCCCCGGCU